rnacentral:tRNA from 1 species
GGUUCCAUAGUGUAGCAGGUAGCACACCUGCUUUACAAGCAGAAGGUCCUAGCUUCACAUAUCAAUGAAGCCA